UGGCAUUUUCUCAACUCUAACUUUCAUUCCUUAAAUGCAAGUCUAAAGGUUUUUGGAAAUUGAUUUGGGUUUUUAUUAUUAUUGGAAUCUUAGAAUUAAUAGUUUUAUACUUCCACCGACGUAUUGAAUGUUGUAUUUAUGUUACAAGUGUGUGUUGGUUAUAACAAAAUUGAAUGAUUUGAUUUGAGUAGGUUAAAGAGAAAGUAGGAAGAAUAUCCCCACAGAUGUGUGAAUAUUUUUUGAAGCCUUUCUAAAUAAACAUGGAAGAGGAGGACUGCUGCUUCACAAUGAGCGGUUGAGUACCAGAUGUUUAACCAACACCUCUCCACAGAUGUUUAACCAACACCUCUCCAGAUGUUCAACAUCAUACGACUUUUGUAUCUUACUACCAAGAUGUCACUGUUAUUUUGGAUAACAUAUAUCUUUAGGUAUUUCCUGUGAUCUUCUAUUGAUUUUCCUUUUGUUUUUACUGUCUACUUGAUUAUGAAGUUAUAAGCACAUAUUUGUGCAUUAUUCCUUCAACAAAAAAUUUAGAAAACAAUCAAUUAACUUUUCUUUAUCCACUUUGAUGUGUUCAGUUCAGCCCUAACACAUUGCAGUCAAGGUUCCACAAAUUAGAGAGUGUCAGAUUAUGGUUUCAGACCAUGUGAAGGAUUUCAAAGCGUUGUCGCUUUCAAACUUCCGAUUUCAUCUAUUUCUUUUCUAGCUUUCAAAAAAUCUGAAGUGGUUUCAAACUUCUUAUUGAAAUACUUCUUGGACAUGUAUUUGUUGUCCACUCAUUCAAAAAAAUCUAUGUGUUAUGUUUUAACUUCACAGUUGCUGCUACUUUUAUAUGCUACAAUAUGAUAAAUAAAUAAAUAAAACCACAAAUAUCUAAAACUAUGUCUUUUUGUAACAUGUUGGUGAUUUUUUUAGGAACAUCUUAACCAAAACAAUCAAUUAUUUGAUUAUUCAGAAGGAUUUUUUUGUCAUUUUUUUAUAAAGUAUGUACAAUUGAUAUAAGUGGAUUAAGUUUUAACCUUAAAAAAUGCACAUACAUCCAUAUUACUUUUAUGUAUAACAUUUUGUUUUUUUUCUGAACCUCAUAAUCAUCAAUCUGUCAGGAUUGAAUCUUAUUUUCGGUAAUGCCCACAUAUAUCAUGAGAAGAAAAAGAAUGACACUAAAGGGGUAACAUCCAUUUUUUUUUUGACUUAUAUACCCUUUUGUUCAAUAGCUAUAACAGAGCCAAACAAGAGUAUAUUUUGUAAUCUUAUUUAUACAUUAUUAAAUGAGUUCUAAUAUAGACGCUGAUACAUGACAUUUUCUUCGAACUUUUGUUUAUUUUAUACAUACAUGUUUGAAAAAACAUUCCUCUACUCUUAUGCAAUGUUGUGCUAUUUUCUUUUCCGGGUAAAAGUGGCUAUAGUAUCAAAUUGAGUUUCGGAAUCAUGGUCAGACAGCAAAUACAAGUUCAGACCAAAAUAACCCUAUAAAUAGAUGAUGUGGUAUCACUAAUAACUCAAUUUCUAUUUCAAUAUUUCUAAAAGUCUUACCAUUUACAGUAGCGAAAAUCGCUUGGAUAACAUUGCUACAAUUAGAUAAGAGUUUUGAAAGUACACUGCUAUAAUGCCGAGUGUCUCAUAACAACUCCUUAUGUAGUCCCUUAUAGGUACGUUUUUACUUUUUACAAUAUUAAUGAUAAUGUAACUUAUUGUUAUUUUAUUUUCAGUUGUUUAUGUGUUUUUUUUUUCAGAUUAUCCUCAACCAACAAAGGAUCCAACACAAGUCGACCUGUUUGGCACAAUACACCAUUCCCUACUUUUGGCACAAAGACCUAUCUCUCCUUUAUUGUUGUAAGAUUAAACAAUUAUCACAGGUUAAGAUUAAUCAUAUUUUUAUAUUAUUCUAACUUUCACCACUUUUUUUAAUUACAUCUAUCUAUUUUUUAUCAUGAUACUUUACUUUUUGCAGCAUGAGGUUUAUGACAAAACCCCAUUUGCUACUUCAAGUUAUGGGAAAUCGUAGAGAUGACAAAUUAGGUAAACUGGUCAUUUCAGGAUCACUGAUUGUAUUAUUGCUUUUGUAACUUAGGAUUAGACUUUUAAUUCUUAUACAAUUUAUCCAAAUUCAAUUUUUUGUAACUAUAUUUGUUACCCAUAAUAACAAUAUAUA